rnacentral:rRNA from 1 species
GUGGGGAAUCUUCCGCAAUGGGCGAAAGCCUGACGGAGCAACGCCGCGUGAGUGAUGACGGCCUUCGGGUUGUAAAGCUCUGUUAUAUGGGACGAACGGGCAUGGGGCCAAUACCCUCAUGCAGUGACGGUACCGUAAGAGAAAGCCACGGCUAACUACGUGCCAGCAGCCGCGGUAAUACGUAGGUGGCAAGCGUUGUCCGGAAUUAUUGGGCGUAAAGGGCGUGUAGGCGGCCAGACAAGUCUGUCUUAAAAGUGCGGGGCUCAACCCCGUGAUGGGAUGGAAACUGUCGGGCUAGAGUGUCGGAGAGGAAAGCGGAAUUCCUAGUGUAGCGGUGAAAUGCGUAGAUAUUAGGAGGAACACCAGUGGCGAAAGCGGCUUUCUGGACGACAACUGACGCUGAGGCGCGAAAGCCAGGGGAGCAAACGGGAUUAGAAACCCCGGUAGUCC